GAAAUUGAACAACCACAUCUGCCAUUUUGAAUGUGAGCUUGACAAUUCUGAGGACGAUGUCCCCAAAUGUGAAGAUUUUUCAUGGCAAGAUGUACCAUAUCAAGGGUUUAAUGAAAAUAAAGACGCACAACAAAUAUCCUCGGCGUGUUAUGUAGAUCAUAAGAAAAAAAAAGAUGAAGUGGGCGGAGUUUUUGCAAAUGCCAAUCUGCCGGAAGGGAGCGUCGUUUUGCUAGAAGAACCAAUUAGUAAAAAUGUUAAUGUACCAUUACUUCAUUGUGAACUGUGUUUGCGUAAAAUUGAUCAAGUUUAUACUUGCUUGAAUUGUCGCUAUAAAACGUAUUGCUCCUUCCAAUGUAUUAAAAGAGAUAUACAUAUUCAUCAGUACGAAUGCUCUGCAUAUAAAUGUCUUAUAUUAUAUAUACUAGAU